GUGUAAGCGUGCAAUCAAACUAUCCAGAGCAUCCAAUCUAGAUCCAACGGUUUCAUAUGGAAGGGGUUAAAAGUAAAAUAGGUACUAUGUUUUAGGUGGAAGGGGUUAAAUAUAAAAUAACAGUCAUCAUUAGAUCUAGAUCGGAUGCACCAGAUCGCUUGAUUGCAUGCUUGCACCAGGAUAAGUGAUUGCAUAGGAUAUUUUCCC